UUUAUUUCAAAUGUUUAUACUUCAAAGUAAAAUUAACUCCAACUUCAAGCUAAAACAGUUCCUUCCAUCACCAUAACAGCUUUUCCUCGCAGCAGUACCCUUUGAUUUUGCUCAUCUAGAUGAAUGUUUAUUGCUCCCCCUCGAGGUGAUGCCUGAAAGUAAACAUCAACGUAUGAGGGGAUUGAGAUUUUUAUAAUACCACAGAGAGAGAGAGAGAGAGAGAGAGAGUGAGAGUGUGCCUGAUAAGCAAAAACAUCAGACUUUCCAAGUUUUUUGCACCAGUAUGAUGCAAGAGCACAAUGUGCGCUCCCACAAACAGGAUCCUGACAUAAAAAUUUAGCAGUAUUCAGAUUUAUGUACCAAAUGGUUUAAAUCCAUGUUAGCAGGUUAAGUCGGAUAUAUUCCAAUACUUUAGCUUGGGAUAAUGAAACUAACAAAGAUCGUGCGGAAAAAGAAAGACACAGGAAAAGGCCAAUCAGGUUAUUCAAAUGUUUUAAAUCCACUUUAGCAGAAAGAAAAAACAAAAGAAAAUAUAAAAAAGGAAAGGCUUAUUGAUGCAGAUACAUAGCAACAGCAUUUGGCACCAGGUAUCAGGCACUUGAGAGAAACUUGCUGAGAGAACAAUGCAAGCUGCUUACCUCAUCAAUUCCAUGUUUGGGACAGAAGAAUCUACUGUAAAAAUCAUAUCCAGAUUCCGGAGGAGCAAUCCCCGUAACAAUCACUCCCCUAGACCCUGGACACUGUCGAAUUGCAUCAAUCUGCGGCUGUAAAUCUGUGACAGCUUUUGCUGAUGGAAGCACAACCUUGAAAAAUGAAACCAGUAUCACUUAAGAGUGCAUGCUAGACUGCACAGGCAAUCCAGUAAAAUAAAAAUUUGUCCGUUGUUUUAUACGCUUCUAUCAAUCGAAAGCAUAAUAGGGAAUUGAAAAUGUAGGUUUCUAGAAGGAUUGUAGGACUUACAAGUAAAUCAUCUGUGACAGUUGUCCUCCUUAUUUCAACCAUAGAAGCACCAUCUAAGGCCUUAGAGAUUACCGAAACAUCACCAGAGUUGAAUUCAUUAGACGGGUCGGCAGGAAAAUUCAGUUCAACAAAAUAGGACUCUUGUGCUUCCCCAUUGUGAGUAUUCAAACCGUUGGCUGUCUUAACAUCUGGAACCUUUUUAGCUUUUAGGAUUCCCGAUAAUGUGGCAAACUCAACAAUGUCGGACUUUACCAAACCAGAGUUAAAGAGAGUGUAUGCAGCUGCUAAUGUUGCAUGACCACAAAGCUCAACCUGCACAAAAGGCAAUCAAAUUUUCAAGAUCAAUGAAGGAAGCAUAGCUACUUCAUACACUGGUGACAAAAUCAAGACAUUAGCAAUACCACUUCAGUAGAGUGCCACAUAAUCACAUCAAAAUUUAGGGAAACCUGAGUGAGGGCUCGUUUGGAGAUUCUUUUCUAGAAAGUACUUAUGCCCAUAAGCAUUAUUGUUAGAAGCACGUCCAAACAACAACAACAACAACAAAGCCUUUUCCCACUAAGUGGGGUCGGCUAUAUGAAUCCUAGAACGCCAUUGCGCUCGGUUUUGUGUCAUGUCCUCCGUUAGAUCCAAGUACUCUAAGUCUUUUCUUAGAGUCUCUUCCAAAGUUUUCCUAGGUCUUCCUCUACCCCUUCGGCCCUGAACCUCUGUCCCGUAGUCACAUCUUCGAACCGGAGCGUCAGUCGGCCUUCUUUGCACAUGUCCAAAUCACCGGAGCCGAUUUUCUCUCAUCUUUCCUACAAUUUCGGCUACUCCUACUUUACCUCGGAUAUCCUCAUUCCCAAUCUUAUCCUUUCUCGUGUGCCCACACAUCCCACGAAGCAUCCUCAUCUCCGCUACACCCAUUUUGUGUACGUGUUGAUGCUUCACCGCCCAACAUUCUGUGCCAUACAACAUCGCUGGCCUUAUUGCCGUCCUAUAAAAUUUUCCCUUGAGCUUCAGUGGCCUACGACGGUCACACAACACGCCGGAUGCACUCUUACACUUCAUCCAUCCAGCUCGUAUUCUAUGGUUGAGAUCUCCAUCUAAUUCUCCGUUCUCUUGCAAGAUAGAUCCUAGGUAGCGAAAACGGUCGCUUUUUGUGAUCUUCGCUAGAUUUGCUCCGGUCAUUAGUGUGGAUAAGUAUAUAAAUGGAUAGAGAUAGGAAAGCAAACACAAGAUGUACGUGGUUCACCCAGAUUGGCUACGUCCACGGAAUAGAAGAGUUCUCAUUAAUUGUGAAGGGUUUACACAAGUACAUAGGUUCAAGCUCUCCUUUAGUGAGUACAAGUGAAUGAUUUAGUACAAAUGACAUUAGGAAAUAUUGUGGGAGAAUGAUCUCGUAAUCACGAAACUUCUAAGUAUCGGAGUGUGGUGUCGUCUUGACUUGCCUUAUCUGUCUCAUAGGUAGAUGUGGCAUCUUCUCUGGAAGUACUCUUCCUCCAUCCAGGGGUGGUAUCUUUAACUGGUGGAGAUGCACAAGGUAAUGUAUCAAUUUCACUUGAAGCUUACUUGUAGUUUCAGGCUUGGUCAAGCGCGAUACAAACCAUGUAGUAGGAGUCCCCAAGUCGCCGAGCUAGGGGGUCUGCUGAAAGAGGUGACAGACAAGGUAAGCAAUCAGAGCUCCGACUGAUUGUUCACCUUCUCCCCAUCUUGCAGGCAGCAUGAAGGAUAAAGAGAAGAAAAAUGAGAAGAGAUGAUAUGAGGAUACUUUUGCUUUUGAAGAAGUAACUUUCCACAGGCUUAUUCUUGAACUGAGCUGGAGGGUUUUCUGGUUUCCUCCAGAGUAUAAGGCCGACUGAAGAAUUUGAGGGUCAAAACAAGUCCAUCAAAUCUAGAGUACGUUCGACCCUGCUGAUAUGGGAUACUUUUGCUUUUGACAGAGUAAUGGAUGUAUCGGCACGUGUGCUGUUACGCUUUGUCUCCACAUGCUUCCUUGUAUCCUUCGCACUUGCCCUAUCUGUUCCUCAAGCAGAUGCGGAAUCUUCCCUGGAAACAUAAGAUGUUGAAGAUGAGUACUCGAGAGCAAUGCCAGGUAAGUAAUCAGGUAAGGGGUUCCAGGCAGUCAGUUCCUGGCUGGAAGCUUGAUUCCAAGUGCUGACUGAUUGCUCUCUUUCUCCUUGUCUUGCAGGUAAAAAACAAGGCCAAAGGAAAAGACAGGGAAAAAGCAUGAUAUGGGAUACUCUUGCUUUUAACCCUGAUGAUAUGAGAUAUUCUUGCUCUAGUAUAGCUUGUUUGCAGAGGUAUUAUCGGGGGGAAAGAAAGCUGAAUAUUUCGAAAGGCUUCGUUGGGAGUGCCCUCUCAGAUAUGAUGAAGGGUUGAGCAUUUUUGCAGGUCUGCCUGUCCGUUGGGGAUGGAGGUCGACAUAUAUAGGAGUCUCCCUAACAACAAGUAGUAAUGCUAUUCCUUUACCCUGCUUGGUCAUAGCACGGUAGUGGGAGCUGCCAGUUUCACAUGUUUUAACUCUGUCAGAGCACUUUGAAAAAGUGGUCUGUGGUAUCUGGCUCUCGAGAUUCGGAAAACGAUGCCUCUUCGAUUUUUGAGAAAGCAAUCAUGUUGGGGGUCUGACUCUCGAGAUUCGGAGAGCAGUGUCUCUUCGAUUUUUGAGGAAGUAAUCAUGUUAGGAGUCUGGCUCUCGAGAUUCGAAGGGCGGUGCCUCUUCGAUUUUGGAGCAAGCAAUCUUGUUGGGAGUGUUGUCUCGAAUGUGAGUAAAGGUUGGGCAUGUUUGCUAGUCUACCUUGCCACGAAGCACAAAGGUUGACACACAGGGACUUUCCAAUUAUCCAGCAAUGGUACUGUUCCUUUACCCUCUCUUCAAUUUUUGAGAAAGUAGUCAUGUUGGGAGUCUGGCUCUCGAGAUUCGGAGGACGGUGCCUCUUCGAUUUUGGAGCAAGCAAUCUUGUUGGGAGUGUUUUCUCGAAUGUGAGUAAAGGUUGGGCAUGUUUGCUAGUCUACCUUGCCACGAAGCACAGAGGUUGACACACAGGGACUUUCCAAUUAUCCAGCAGUGGUACUGUUCCUUUACCCUUGUGGGUAAUAAUAUGGUAGCUAGACCUUCAAAAUUUAUGUGUCUAAACUUUGUUAGUGCUGUUUCUUUGCUAUUCUUUUACCUUUCUUGGUCAGAGCGAUGUAGUGGGAGCUGCAAGCUUCACGUGCUCAACUUUGGCAAAGUUAUAUGUGGGUACCCAUGAGCUAUUGUUGCGUGUGGGAAGUGGGUGAUUGAACAGUAAGAUUCAUGUGCUUUCUACUUCACCAGAAGUCUUCGACAGAAUGCCCAUAAUUUCUGCAAAGCUGAGUGUGCGUGUGACAGGUGCUGACAAGGCUAGAAAAGUAGGUGCCUCUUCGAUUUCUGAGAUUGGCCCUCGUGGUCUCUGAGCAGCCCAGCUUUUGAGAAAGCGAGCGCCUCUUCGAUUGAUUCGGAGAACGAUGCCUCAUCGAUUUUUGAGAAAGCAAUCAUGCUGGGGUCUGGCUCUCGAAGAUUCGGGGAGCAGCGUCUCUUCGAUUUUUGAGAAAGUAAUCAUGUUGGGAGUCUGGCUCUCGAGAUUCGGAGGGCGGUGCCUCUUCGAUUUUGGAGCAAGCAAUCUUGUUGGGAGUGUUUUCUCGAAUGUGAGUAAAGGUUGGGCAUGUUUGCUAGUCUACCUUGCCACGAAGCUUCUCUUCGAUUUUUAAGAAAGUAGUCAUGUUGGGAGUCUGGCUCUCGAGAUUCGGAGGACGGUGCCUCUUCGAUUUUGGAGCAAGCAAUCUUAUUGGGAGUGUUUUCUCGAAUGUGAGUAAAGGUUGGGCAUGUUUGCUAGUCUACCUUGCCACGAAGCACAGAGGUUGACACACAGGGACUUUCCAAUUAUCCAGCAGUGGUACUGUUCCUUUACCCUUGUGGGUAAUAAUAUGGUAGCUAGACCUUCAAAAAUUUAUGGGUUUAAACUUUGUUAGUGCUGUUUAUUUGCUAUUCUUUUACCCUUCUUGGUCAGAGUGAUGUAGUGGGAGCUGCAAGCUUCACGUGCUCAACUUUGGCAGAGAACUUUGGCAAAGUUUUCUGUGGUACCCAUGAGCUAUUGUUGCGUGCGUGUGGCAAGUGGGUGAUUGAACAGUAAGAUUCAUGUGUUUUCUACUUCCCCAGAAGUCUUCGAUAGAAUGCCCAUAAUUUCCGCAAAGCUGAGUGUGCGUGUGACAGGUGCUGACAAGGCUGGAAAAGUAGGUGCCUCUUCGAUUUCUGAGAUCGGCCCUCGUGGUCUCUGGGGAGCCCAGCUUUUGAGAAAGUGAGCGCCUCUUCGAUUUCUGAGAUCGGCCUUUGUGGUCUUUGAGCAGCCCAACUUUUGAGAAAGCAAACGCCUCUUCGAUUUCUGAGAUCAACCCUCGUGAUCUCUAAGCAGCCCAGCUUUUGAGAAAGCAAACGCCUCUUCGAUUUCUGAGCAGGCGCCUCUUCGAUUUCUGAAGCUCCGUCGAGUGCAGAUUUUUAUAGGGGCUGGCAUUAAGUUCCAAAGCACACUUGAAUCUCCACCAGUAGAAGCUUCAUUCUUGCACUUCUAAGAUCUUGAUUUGUCCGACCUCUUCUCUCUUCAACACCUUUGAAAAUGUCUGGCCCCUCCGACCGUCGUUUUGACUUGAACCUUGUUGAAGAGGCAGCCCCGCCUUCUCCAGACAACAUAUGGCGUCCCAUCCUUCGUCUCCCCCACUGGUCCUCUUACCGUUGGGGAUUCCGUGAUGAAGAAUGAUAUGACCGCUGCGGUGGUGGCCAGGAACCUUCUCACUCCCAAAGAUAACAGACUACUUUCCAAACGGUCUGAUGAGUUAGCUGUUAAGGAUUCGCUGGCUCUCAGUGUUCAGUGUGCAGGUUCUGUGUCUAAUAUGGCCCAACGCCUAUUUGCUCGAACCCGCCAAGUUGAAUCAUUGGCGGCUGCUGAAGUGAUGAGUCUCAAACAGGAGAUUAGAGGGCUCAAGCAUGAGAAUAAACAGUUGCACCGGCUCGCACAUGACUAUGCUACAAACAUGAAGAGGAAGCUUGACCAGAUGAAGGAAACUGAUGGUCAGGUUUUACUUGAUCAUCAGAGAUUUGUGGGUUUGUUCCAAAGGCAUUUAUUGCCUUCGUCUUCUGGGGCUGUACCGCGUAAUGAAGCUCCAAAUGAUCAACCUCUGAUGCCUCCUCCUUCUAGGGUUCUGUCCAGUACUGAGGCUCCAAAUGAUCCCCCUCCGGUGCCUUCUCUUUCUGAGGCUCUACCGACUGCUGAGACUUCUCCUAAGCAACCUUUGUGAAGGCUCCCUCUUGUGUGUUUAUUUUGACUCAUGUAUAUGUACAUAUUUGUAGCUUAUCGGGGAUAUCAAUAAAUAAGCUUUCCUUCAUUUCAACGUAUUGUGUUAAAUACACCAAAGCCUUAUUCGCUAAGUUCUUUGAAUUUUCUUUUGUUGAAGCUUGUAUGUUGAAGCUUUCUGAGUGGAGCAUGUAGGUUGGGGUAGUGUUCCCUUAAUUUUCCGAGUGAGGAAAACUUCUCGGUUGGAGACUUGGAAAAUCCAAGUCACUGGGUGGGAUCGGCUAUAUGAAUCUUAGAACGCCAUUGUGCUCGAUCAUGUGUCAUGUCCUUCGUUAGAUCCAAGUACUCUAAGUCUUUUCUUAGAGUCUCUUCCAAAGUUUUCCUAGGUCUUCCUCUACCCCUUCGGCCCUGAACCUCUGUCCCAUAGUCGCAUCUUCUAAUCGGAGCGUCAGUAGGCCUUCUUUGCACAUGUCCAAACCACCGUAACCGAUUUUCUCUCAUCUUUCCUUCAAUUUCGGCUACUCCUACUUUACCCCGGAUAUCCUCAUUCCUAAUCUUAUCCUUUCUCGUGUGCCCACACAUCCAACGAAGCAUCCUCAUCUCCGCUACACCCAUUUUGUGUACGUGCUGAUGUUUCACCGCCCAACAUUCUGUGCCAUACAGCAUCGCCGGCCUUAUUGCCGUCCUAUAAAAUUUUCCCUUAAGCUUCAGUGGCAUACGGCGGUCACAUAACACACCGGAUGCACUCUUCCACUUCAUCCAUCCAGCUUGUAUUCUAUGGUUGAGAUCUCCAUCUAAUUCUCCGUUCUUUUGCAAGAUAGAUCCUAGGUAACGAAAACGGUCGCUCUUUGGUAUUUCUUGAUCUCCGAUCCUCACCCCUAACUCGUUUUGGCCUCCAUUUGCACUGAACUUGCACUCCAUAUAUUCUGUCUUUGAUCGGCUUAGGCGAAGACCUUUAGAUUCCAACACUUCUCUCUCAAAGGUUAAGCUUUGCAUUUACCCCUUCCUGAGUUUCAUCUAUCAACACUAUAUCGUCUGCGAAAAGCAUACACCAAGGAAUAUCAUCUUGAAUAUGUCCUGUUAAACUCAUCCAUUACCAACGCAAAAAAGGUAAGGACUUAAGGAUGAGCCUUGAUGUAAUCCUACAGUUAUGGGAAAGCUUUCGGUUUGUCCUUCAUGAGUUCUUACGGCAGUCUUUGCUCCUUCAUACAUAUCCUUUAUAGCUUGGAUAUAUGCUACUCGUACUCCUUUCUUCUCUAAAAUCCUCCAAAGAAUGUCUCUUGGGACCCUAUCAUACGCUUUUUCCAAAUCUAUAAAGACCAUGUGUAAAUCCUUUUUCCCAUCUCUAUAUCUUUCCAUCAAUCUUCGUAAGAGAUAGAUUGCCUCCAUGGUUGAGCGCCCUGGCAUGAACCCGAAUUGGUUGUCCGAAACCCGUGUCUCUUGCCUCAAUCUAUGCUCAAUGACUCUCUCCCAGAGCUUCAUUGUAUGACUCAUUAGCUUAAUACCCCUAUAGUUCAUGCAAUUUUGUACGUCGCCCUUAUUCUUGUAGAUAGGCACCAAAGUGCUCGUUCGCCACUCAUUUGGCAUCUUCUUCGUUUUCAAAAUCCUAUUGAAAAGGUCAGUGAGCCAUGUUAUAUACCUGUCUCUCCCAAAAGUUUCCACACUUCGAUUGGUAUAUCGUCUGGGCCUAUUGCUUUUUUUAUGCUUCAUCUUCUUCAAAGCUACAACCACUUCUUCCUUCCGGAUUCGACGAUAAAAAAGAGUAGUUUCUACACUCUUCUGAGUUACUCAACUCCCCUAAAGAAGCACUCAUUUCAUGUCCUUCAUUGAAAAGAUUAUGAAAAUAACCUCUCCAUCUGUCUUUAACCGCGUUCUCUGUAGCAAGAACCUUUCCAUCCUCAUCCUUGAUGCACCUCACUUGGUUUAGGUCUCUUGUCUUCUUUUCCCUUGCUCUAGAUAGUUUAUAGAUAUCCAACUCUCCUUCUUUGGUAUCUAGUCGUUUAUACAUAUCGUCGUAAGCCGCUAACUUAGCUUCUCUAACAGCUUUCUUCGCCUCUUGCUUCGCUUUUCUAUACCUUUCACCAUUUUCAUCGGUCCUCUCCUUGUAUAGGCUUUCUAUUUUUUGUUCAACCCAUAGGCAAUUUCAACUUUUUCUGUUAGAAAGCGUCUUUAGGAACCAGUGUUAAAUAAAUCCAUAUGCCAAAAAGGAACCAUUUUUACUUUCUAAUAAAUCAUGGGGUAAAUUUAAAAUUUCAACCUUGUUAGCGUGUGCAUUUAAAAGUUAAACACUUGAAACUAAGGAAACUCUAGAGAUCAACAAUUUUGAACUUUCUACUUCAUACAUUGGUUAAGAUUAAGAUUUAAGAAUUUCUAAAUAUCUAAUUUUAAAAAAAAAAUUGAGUUAAAGGCCCGUUUGAAAUGCUUAUCUAGAAAACACUUCCACUCAUAAACCUUUUUGCUCGAAGCGCAAUUAGUAGAAGCACGUCCAAAUUUUAAUAAAGUCCAAGUGCUUUUACAAGCCAGAAGCACUUUUCCAACUGCUUUAACUACCCAGUUACACUUUCAAAUAAACCGUUAUGCUAAAAGCCUAAAAGGAACAAAUUUAAAGAAUUCCUGGCUGUUUUCGAUACACUCAAAUCUUUUGGUGGAUUCCAUAUCGACCCAGAUAAAAGUUGAACAAUUGGAAACCAAGGAACGUGUAAAGAUUGAUAUGAUACUACGAUGCAUGGACACGGGGAAAACUCAACGUAUCCCGUAUCUGACACGCAGGGAUACGGAUACGUACAGAAUACGUACGGAUACGCUCCCGAUACGUAUCAGAAUGAAGGGAUACGUUAUUUAUUGAUGAGAUACGCGUAUCAUACUGUCGAGAUACGCGUAUCAUAAUUUUCGGAUACGUUUCAAACAAAAUCUGAGGAUAAUCAGGAAAAAAAAUCCAAAUCAGAGGAUACGGAUUCCGCACAGAAUCGUGAUUGAUUCGAAUUAGAUAACUGAAACGAUUGUUUAACUAAAAACCAAAACGAUUUCGAACCUCAGAAAUCAGACUUGUUGUCUGCAAUUGCUCCGUCCGUCUGUCGUCUCUAUCGUUUCCGUCUGCAACUAAUUCGUCGUCUCCAUCGUCUCCGUCUGCAACUGCUGGUGAGAGCCUUCGACUUCGUUUUCACUUUGUUAAUUUUGAAACUCAAUCUGUACAGAACCCUUUUCUGUUUUUUUUCGAACCUAAAAGCCCCAACCUCUGUUUCUGUUUUUAUUCGAAGCUAAAAGAAAGCCUCUGUUCAAUCUGAUUGAUUUGAAAACCUGUUCAAUCUGAUUGCUUUUUGUAUAUAAUAUUAUUUUGUAUUUUGUGUAUUAUAAAUAAUAUAAUAUUGUACUUUCAUGAUAUUUAGAUUAUAAUAUUUAUGGAUAUGCUUUCAUGAAUGUGGAGACUACUUUAGUUACUGGAUGAACCGUCAUUGGAUACUACUUUAGUUACUAGAGGAGACAUCAUGAACGUGGAAGUUGAAUGAGACUUUGUUUUUUUAAUUUUAGUUUGGAUGUUCAUUUUAAUUUUUCAAGUUUGAAGACUAAUUGCUUGUUGGAUGGACUAUCUUUCUAACUAUUUGGAGUUUAUUGAAAUAAAUUUAAAUUUGAGUAAUAAAUUUGAAUGCUUAUUUUAAAGUAUUUUAGAUAUAUUUAUAUAUAUUUUUAAUUGCCGUAUCCCAAACGUAUCGUGUCUUCGUUUUUAGAAAUUUGACGUGUCCCGUGUCGUAUCGUGUCGUAUCCUCGUAUCCGUGUCCGUAUCCAUGCAUCGUAGAUAUGAUAUGAAUGGAAAGCGUUGAAUUGAAGGGAGGUGAGCUCAUACCUCAUUGGAAGGAGUGAACCAUCUGAGACCGAACCGAGGAGUUGAGUCAGACUCAGUGAGCCGAGUCAAGUAACAUGUCUCGGAGAGGUUGAACUCGGAGGCCACGGCUUGUAACCACUGGUCGUCUCUUUCUUCCUCCAGCAAGCAAACCGCUGCUGGGUUCCCUUUGAAAGCGGAGUCUGUGAACGCGUCCACCUGCAACAAGCAAGUUCAAACACUCAAUUCAUACACACAGAAGAGAGAGAGAGAGAGAGAGAGAGUACCACAGAGUAUUUCACAGCUUUCUUCGCCAUGGAAUUGGAAUGGAAAAUCGAAAUGAUUGUGGAGCAAAGACCUGGAAAGUAGCUCUCUCUCUCUCUCUCUCUCUCUCUAUAUAUAUAUAUAUAUAUGUAUAUAUAUAUAUAUAUAUAUUACUCUUCGCGGGUGGGUAAAGAGUUUCAAAACAAAAGCGCUUUUGGUAAAAGCAAAUCAAAAAGCACUUUUAAGUAGAAAUGCUAAAGCAGUUUCAAACCGCAACCCAACAUAUACAAUGAAUUCCAUGUGGAAAAUAGUUGGCAUCUCAAGACGUAUGGGAUCUUUCUUCCUUCAUAUCAUAUCCUAUGAUUUUUUAUGUGGAAAAUGUUAGAACCAAUCAAAUGUCACUUAUACAAUAUAAAAUAAUUUGCAUGGUUUAUUUUUGAAUGACAACUUGAACAACAAAUACAAUAUAUCGAAAUAUAAACACUUAAUGAAAUUGCAUAUACAAUCACAAAUCACUGACUUGUUAUUUGAAGAUAGAGGUUUGCAAAAGCAAUUUCCUAAGACAUAAAUUUGCCAUACACUAGUGCAGUAGUUCAAUGGAUGCCUAUCUUGCAUGAUACAACUAUCUAAUCCAAGUUUUUGCACUCGAACUUGGAUUCUUGGCGAAUUGAUUGUGUGUUUAUCUGUGAAUAUAUGGAAAAAGGAAGAGAUGGACUUGUUGUUUUGGUUUCUGAUCUGACGGCCAUAUUUAUAAUGGCGUAAUGGAGCAGUUAAAGUCGUUCAUGUUUAUCUUUAAGAACGAUUGUAACUAGGGCUGGGCAAACGGGCCCUGGGCCCGCGGGUAGGGGCGGGUAUUGGCGGUUCGGGGCGGGUCCAUAAUAUUUUAUGUACAAAACAAGGCGGGGCGAGGCGGGUCCAAGUAAACAAAGGGGCGGGCCGGUUCCAAUUUUCCAAAGUGACGGGCCCCCAGCCCGAACCGUAUCACACACACACACUCAAAUCUCGCACACAUCACAUCUUUCUCGAAGACUCCCGAGCCCUCCCCGAGUCCUCCAUCUCGAUCUCUCUCCCCCAGAUUCGUCCCUCUUGAUCUCUCUCUCCCAGAAUCCUCCCUCUCGAUUCUCAGUCCCCUCUCAUUCGUCCUUCCCUCUUGAUCUCUCUUUCCCAGAAUCCUCCCUCUCGAUUCUCAGUCCCAUCUCCCACUCGAGUCGAGUCCUCUUGUGAACACCACCAUCGCCAUCGUCUCCUGACACUUCUCCCAAAUGUGACCACCCAUCACCGCCGUCGAAAACAGCACCAUCAUCCUGCGAUUCGAAAUAUCAUGUCAUCUUCUCUCAAAUUAAGGUAAUUUCUAGAUUAGGGUUUUUGAAUUAUCUGGGUUUUUUAGUUCAGGGAUUUAGGACUUUUGAAUUAGGAUUUUUGAAAUUUCUAGGUUAUGGGGAGUAUUCGGAAUUUUUAUUUUCUGGGUUGGUGGGGAAAUUGGAUGAAGUUGCAUAAAUUUUGAAUCUUUCAGUAAGCUGCAUAUGAAGAUGAAGUUGGCAAGCUUGAGCUUUCAGUAAUCUGCUAAUCUUUCAGUAAUUUAGAGUUGUAUAUAACUUCUGAAAUUUAUAUGAUUGACAAUUUGAUUUUGGUUGAGAUUUGUUUAUUUGUUCAAGCUUUGUCAUUUUUUGUUUGUAUUGUAAAUUUGAUUGCUCAAGCUUUGUCUUCUGAAUUUAGUUUUCGAUUGUAGAACAAGACUCAGUCUUACAAGGUGGAGUGCCGAUUGGAAAAACGCUACUCUUUCGUAUGCAGCAAGGGCGGAGGAUGCAGCGGCGGAGGAUGCAAGCUGUUAGGGUUUUUUCUGUUGGGCUUGGUUUUGUUAUCAGGUCCAUACUUUUGUUGUUGUGUUUGUAUGGGCCUCUCUUGUAAAUGUAAAUAUGUGAGUUGUUGGUAAUAAAAAAAGGAGCCCAAUGUCAGACCCAAAAAAAAAAAAAGUAAUUGGACCCGUGGACCCGUCCCGAACCGGCCCGUUUCAAACGGGCCAGGUUAGGUCCGGUUCUCAAACUUAAAAUCUCUCUACCCAACUCGGCCCGGCCCGUUACAUUUUAAAACGGGUAGGUCCGGUUCCUCAGAAUUUGGGCCCGGCCCGGCCCGUGCCCAACCCAAAUUGUAACUGUUCACGUAAUUAGUUUUAUCCUUUUAGAAAAAAACUGAAUGCAAAAAUCAAAAACAUAAAAAUGAUACUUGUGUUUUUCAUCCAUCCGAGCCCAAGAGCCCCAAUGCCCAUCUUUGACAUUUAAUAUAUGCACCCAAACCCUCCAAGUCUAGAGGCCAAGAUCCCAUGGCCUUGGCCCAAUUCUUUUCAAAUCAUAAGUGAGUGAACUCAAUUAUAAAGAGAUGUUUUGAAAAAGGUUUGGGCGAUGUGGGAUUGGGAGUCCCUCACAAGUUCCAACAGAAAAUAGCAAGCACAUUGCGUGUGAGAACCUUUCUUUCCGUACUGACAAAUCACAGUCCAACACGAGAUGAAGAUUAAAACCUGAGAUGCAAGAGACAAGAGACAAGGUGGCCGAUCUCAUCUUUUAUUGAUUUUUUAUAUUUCAGAGUUAUUUAUAAUAAGAACAGUUACGCCCGUAAGUAUGAAAUUCCAUGAUUUAAUCACAAAUUACUUUGAGGAGGAACUCAUCAUCGUCCAUUGAGGAGCCAAGUUAAUUCCUUUUAUGAUUGUUUUGGUUCAUGGGUCGUUUCAAACUAUAUGAACACUUUAGCUUUCGCCAAUCAGUUUUGCUGUUGAAAAUACGACACUCAAAGCGAAAAAUCGAGUUCUUGCAAUCAACUUCAUUCGUUGAGCGACGGAAAUAGUACAUUCUGACAUAAUCUUUACAAAGUACAAACCCUUGAGAGAUCAAUGAACUAGUUGUAGGAGACGAUCAGGGCAAUGUGAGUGAGUAAUUUACAUGGUGUAAUUCACAAGGUUACAUACAACACAUGAUGCCUAACUUUAUUAACACAUUAACCAGAUGGAAAUGGAAUCACCACAUUCCUUGUUUGUUCAUCUUCGAGAAAUGGGACAGAGUGAUCUUUGGAAGUUCGAUCGGACGCCUGUUCAUCUUGAGGAAUAUCUAGUGAGGACGUUUCCUGGCCAACGAGCACACAGCUCCCUAAGAGGUUGGCGCCGGUUGAUAUCGUAUAUCGGGCUUCUGCUUAUUGGCGGGUUGUAAGAGAAUGACAGUUAAUUCUGAAAGGUGCCUUUAUAGGGCCUUAGGUGUAGGCAUUGAGGCUCGCAAUCAAAAUCAACUUUAAGUACCCAGGCAUGCCACUGUCAUCUUUAGCAUGACAGAUGUAAAACAGAUGUUAAGUUUUAUUAUAUAUAUAUAUGUCCGAGAGACCAAGUUAGUUAUGAAAGGUGCCUUUGUGGGGCCUUAGGUGUAGGCCUUGAGGCUUCCCGUCAAAACUAACCAAAUACUUGAACAUAUAUUGGUUGUUUCAUUGUUGUAGAAGUAUUACAACCGUUAUACUUUAAUCAUCCGAGCCCGCAGAGCAGAACGAACUCAGAUAGGUGCCUUUGUCGGGCCUUAGAUAUAGGCAUUGAGGCUUCCUAUCAGAAUUAAUUCUAUACUCAAGCGUUAUGUAGCAAUCAUGAUAUAACAGAAGUAAAACUAGAAAAUAGGCCAAUUACUUGCGCCCCAAGUAACUUCGGACUUCUUGUUAUCAAGGACUGUCGUGGAUGGGUUAAGUCCACAUAGGGUUCUUUUUUAUGCCUUGAGACCAAGGACUGUUAAUUGAUCAAUCUUGUCCGCUCGAAUGGUUAGAACUUAGAAGUCUUUUAAUCAUAAACUGGCUAGAAAUAACUUGGAUGCAGAUGGAAAUAUACAUCAUAUUACUGGAUUUAUGAAUGAAAGACAAAAACAAAGGAGGUCGGGCAAGGUUUCACUUUGUCGGGCAAGGCUGAUCAUCUUGCAACUUCCUCUCUUUGUGAUUUACAAAGGGUUUGAGUGCUAGAAGGGGAGAUUAGAAGAUGAGUUUACAUGAGGGAAUCAAUACUACAGCAAGAUUUAGACAGGGUAGCACAGCUUUUACAAAGGCUUUCUGGUGAAGGUUGAUCCCGAAAGGGAUGAAGGCUUGGUGCUGACUACAACUUCGUAUGCAAAUCUGGCUUGAGUAGAGUUUGUGUAUUUGUUUGUUUGAUUGAGUGUCCUUAUCUCUGAUUUUUCUUCCUCCUUUUAUAGACAAUUUGGCUUGGCUGCCUGCAGUAUUGAUUUUGCCCGAAUGCAUCUGAAGGGCAGUGACUCAUCAACUUUUACUUGUACUGUCAUUGUAAAGUACUUUUGGGCUGAUUAACUGGUUGGUCUACACCACCUGACCUCUAGGUAGGUGAGCAGGUGGUUUGAAUGAUCUGCAUUUGGUCGGGAAAAAGGCUCAUUCUUUCUUCUGGGCUUCAACUGGGCCUUGGACUUUUCCUCAUUCUGGACCUUCUUUUGGGCUAACCCAUUUUUAACCUAAAGUUCAAGUUUUAUCCCAAACAGUGCCCCUUUUCAAUUAAUAUUCAAGCUGGAAUUCCAGGCACCAAUAUUGAUUGAAUAGCUGCCCUUCAUACCCACGUCUUUACUGAGACUUGCACCCUUCUCAAAAAACAACUGUCACUUACCUGUAAUCUUUUCACUAACCCAUAAAUCAUCAGUUAUCCCUAAUAUGAAAUCCCCCUUUUCAGAAUUUCCUACCUUCCCAGAUACUCUAUUUCUUCCAAAUUUCAGACUCCCAUUUGCUCUUUGUUCCAUAUCUUCUGCCCUUGUCACAUUCUUAUCACGCCUUUUCCAAACUUAUCAAAUGGCUUCAAGAUUCAGCCAAGUCCAGCUAUCAUACGAAUCUGGUGAAGGCAUCGCUACCUUACGCCGUUUACUUAACGGAUUGCAUCGCCCUCGGGCAUGUUUGUGCUCUGAACUUUUCUUUGAAGCCCAUGUGGUACAAUCGUUGGGUCCUGCAUGGAUUUCUCGCGUCCCUGCUGUGAUAGAAAUAAUAUGCCCAGGGGUAACUGGUUUGCCCCUAAUCCUUUUUUGGCCAAGUCGGGCAUCUCUUCAGCUAAAUGGUCAUCAUACCAUCGUGGCUUUCCCCUAAUGAACGACCCAGCUUGGACUCAGUGGAUUGAUGAACUAGAGCCAAUCUUCAAGAAGAAGUGGAUGAACAAUGGUAUUUACGAACUAAUAAUGCUUUCAAAAACUACCAUUGUUCCCAAGCUCGAACUGCUUGCUACUUCUCUUCUUUUCUAGAAUUCAGGCAUGAAUACUUUUGAUUUUCGCAUGGGUCCCAUGUCUCCGACUGUUCUAGAUAUGGCCCAAGUCUUCGGGCUAAGACCAUCGGGCAGGAUUGUAGAUGUUACCCAAGACUGGGUUCCCUCUUCCUCUUCAAUCGCUAAAAGCUCCGGUUCCUCCGCCUCUUUUCUUUAAUUAGAAUACAACUCUGCAACCUUUAAGAGUUACGAGACUUCUUUCAAGGGAUUCAUCCCCUUUGUCAAGGAGAAUUUUGGUGCAGAUUCCUCUCGUGCUAACAAAGAUCAAGAACAUAUGUAUUUCCUGUUAUACUGGCUCAACAAGCAUGUCUUCCCAAAUAAAUCUAAAGGGGUGAAGGUUGAAUGGAUCCUCUUAGUGGAAGCCCUUCAUAACUUUGAUGAUGUAGCCACAGGUCCAUUCCUUCUUUCUCAUCUUUAUCAUCUCCUCUUUGAAAUGACUCAAGGUGAGCCAUUUGAAACCAAUCUGAACGGACCCAUAUGGAUGAUCCAAAUAUGGCUCUAAUGGUAUUUCCCAAAAUUUCGGGCCAGUAACUUAGAAUUCCCAUAAGGUGUAACCCCUGCUCGAAUCCUAGCUGAAGCUACUCCCAUAGAUCACUCUACUUUUGCCUGUUUUUAUUUCUUCAAGGUUUGUAGAACCCGAUCAUACCUGGAGUGGGGUGCUUCAGUUUUAAGGAGAUAUCCUUGGUUCUCUAAUCAAGCAUUCCAAGACACUCUCGGAGAAGAUGCCAUCUCAUUUUGCAAGGAGAAAUUCAUCAGUUGUAUUCAACAAAGAAACAUAGCCUGGGAAGUUCGUGGCAACCGUUAUGAUCGCGAUUAGAAGUGUAUCACCCUAAUUUUUGUAGCAGGCAAUUAGGCUUUAGGCAAGCCAUUCCUAUCCCCUUUUUUUACUCUGUCCAUUGUGGCACUUCCUUCCGGUUAUCAUCCCCUUCAGAGGUGACCUUUCGGGUUGCCCGACAAAGUCUUGAAGUUAUGAAUCAGGUUGCCCGAAAGUCUAUAAUUCUGAACUUCGAAUGUACUUCACUUUUCUCCACCUAGUGGGAAGCCAAAUGGACCAAGAAAUAUGGAGAAGAUUUGCGAGAAACUUACGACCGUCUCUUUUGUCAACUUUCCCUCAAGUCAUACCCAAGUUCAGGCGAACUUGGAAACUGGAAGGAAAUGAUUCAGCAAAAGAACUGGUUACUUUUGAUAAGUAUUUCUCUCCCCACCUCGACUCUGCCUUCCUUUGAAGUUAAAGUUAUUUAGUCUUAUUUUCCUUGAUCUUGCAGCUCAAGUAGAUGUCAAAACAGCAUCCAUUGAAUCAGAGGAUGAUUCAGCUGAUGCAGCAGUUCUUCAUGGAGCCACAGUAGAAGCUCAAAGGCGAAAAGCUGGAGUAGGCGGAGAUGUUUCAAAAUCUUUUAGAGAUUCAGAUGCUGAAAAAGUACCCGAAGUAAACAUCAAGGCGUCUAAGCGGAGAAAAGUAGUUGUGGUCGAGACCUCAGAAUCUGAACUUGCAUCACCACCCAAACCUAAACGGCCAACUCUCACACUUCUUCCAAGCUUCCAAAUCUUCAACCUACUCAGCUCCAGUUUCUAAGGCAUGCAUAAUGAAGCAAAAGUCUUCAAGUAAGUUUUUUUGCUUUCCUUUAAUCAGACUUCCACCCUUCUUCAUUAUCUGAUUGUCCCUGCUUUCUUCUAAAUCAGGGCCUCAUACUUCUAAGAAACCAACUAUCGCACCCAGGAAGGGUCCACUAGGAACUGAAAUGCAUCAAAGAGCUGAAGAUCUGCAGAAGGCCAUCCUCAGGGAGCGUGAGGUAUUUACUUGUAUUUUCAUCUGCAUGAUCUCCCUUACUUUUCUUUAAACUUUGAACAUGAUUGCCUGAUUAGGCUGUAAGUGAAGAAAAGAUUCUUCUGCCCGAGGUUUCUGGAAUAAAUGACCGAACUUUUUUCUUCAUUUCUUUUUAUCCAGGUUGGGGUAUCUGCCCCCUUGCCUAGCCAAGGUUCCCAUCCAAAGUCUUAUAUUUCUCCUUCUGCUCUGGAUGUAACUCCAUCUUCUCAAUUUAAUCUAACAACAGAAGUUAUGUUGCAUUUUGUAAAUGAAGACAGCAGUUUGGUGAGCAGUUGUUUUGAUAUUGAACUUCUAUACACUGUGCCCGUACUAACUUUCCAUUUACAUUUCCUCUAGCCAUAUCCAAUACAUGAAUCACGACGACCAUCAGUGGUAACACUUAAAGAACCCGUAGCCCCUGAAAUUCCUAUGACUCCAAGGGUAGCUAUUUUGCAAGUGUUUCCUUGCCCAAUAGCUACUACCGAUGAACCCCCUUCUUCUCCCCCUUCUUCUCCCCUCACUCAGGUAUAGAUAUAUUUUUCUUUAUGUUCUCUUCUCAUACUUGUUUACUAACAAUUGCUAUAAUACCUGGAUGCUCUUAGGGCAUUGGUGAAGGUUCGGGCACAACUUUUUCUUCCCCUGUUGGUGGUAGUGAUUCUCCUCCUCAAACAGGAGCUGAUACUCUUUCUUUUAAAACCCUAGGGCCCAUUCAGGCAUAUUUCUUCUUCCCAAAGUUUGUUUCUACUUUAAACUAUUUAACUGUUUUCUUGCCUUAAUCUAGUCUUCUUUAGUUCUUUUAAUCUAGUCUUCUUUGGUUCUCGCAGCAGGCCAUAAGAGAGGCUUCGGGCAAGUCUCCCCCACGUGUGGUGUAUAAAACGGAGUUCCCCCGGCCUUCUUCAACUUCUGGAGAUACAGGGAUUUCCUUCCCUAGAAUUGAGAUGAUCAGGACUGAAGUCACCUUAUCAGCAGUUACUACUCCAUCAGAAGAAACUGGAGUACGAACCCCUCUCCCUUCUUUUUCAUUUUCAACAACUGCUGAUUUGCCCGAACUUUUUGAAGAAUUCGGGCAACUUGAAACAAGGCUGAAAUCUUCAAAGCGUUCUUCUGAACCUUCUGGCUUUCAAGAGAAACGUCGAGGUUUCCAAAAUUGGGUGAAAAAAGACUUCUCAGCUUCAUUCAGCCUUAAGGCUCUUCAUGACAUAGAGAAGGUUACGAUAGAGCUCUUCAAGGCCGGCCAGUUAUCCAAAACCCAACAUGAUUCAUUUUUCUCUUUCUUUGAGAACUUGAGGGCUCUCAGGGAUCAACAUCAGAGAGCUGAAAGACAAGUCAAUCGUGUAAAAUGCUUCAGGGAGAAAGAAUUGAGUAUUUCUGCUCAGGUCGAACAGUUAAUGGAUGAGGGCUUGCUGACAAAAGAAAGGAUUGGAGUGGUAACUUUUGAAAUCCAGAAGUUGGAAGAACAACUUAUUGUUCUUAAGGCUGAGCAAAAAACCCUUCUUAGUACCCUUAAACAUCAAAUUGAAGAAGUGAAGAAGUCAAACUUAGAGCUAGAACACGCUAGAUCUCAACUUGCUAAUAGCAACAUUGUUCUAGCCGAACUUGGUAGAAUUUUUACAAUCAUGUAGACUUAUCAUUCCCGAAUAAUUACUUUGAGUGAAGAUGUAAAUUUGUUAGACUAGAAUCACUUGUAACCCUUCUUUUAUCAAAAUGAACAUGUGUUUUGCCUUUGCUUGUCUCGCUCAUGGCCCCAUUUGCAUUGUAAAUCCUAUGUUAUAUCUUCGGGCAACUCCCUGCCCCCCUUUUUAUUUUCUUUUUUGCUUCCCUUACCAAUACCAAUUUCAGGACCUAAUCAUGAUCAAUUGGUCCUCCUUCUGAUACUAUUAUUGACGUGGAGGUGUUGGGGCAACAUGGGAUCUAUUUCCCUCUUCUUUCAUAACAAAUGAUGACCCCAACUUUUCUACCCAAACCAGGUUGAUCGUAUUGAUAGGGGCCUCCAGGAACGGGUUUGUAUCAACCAUCAUACUGGUUUAGGGCUUGUCAAGCAACAGUUUGCCCUUCACUAUAAGAUCUUGUAUCCAAUCUAUGAACUGGACAUAAUUGGUUAUAGAAUGGUUGAAGGUAUAGUGCAACUUGCAAUACUUCUUCCCCCUUAGUUUUUCUGGCUUAGGCAUCUUCUUAGUAUUGUCGGGUAAAAUUAUUCUUGCCCGCACCAGUUCUUCAUAGAUCUCGGGAGCUUUGGCCAAGUCAAAUGAAUAACUCUAGUACUUGGGAGGUUUCAUAGGGACGAACCCUCCAUCAUUCAUUACGAUUUUCUGGUCUUUGAUGGGUUGAACCAACCCUUUCACCAUUAAUAGUUUGAAAGGCGUGGUCAUCUCAGCAACACAAACAUCAAUUUCCUCUCUAUCAUGACCAUCUUCAUGCUCUGGCCUUGCUUUUUCCACCUCCACACGAUGAAUUGCAGCUUUGUUUUUGUAAAAGGGAAGAGUCUUGGAAGUAUGCUUCACUUGUUGUUCUUCUAGCAGCAAUCUUUCAUACUUUGUGGCGGCGAUUACCAACUCCUGUAACUCAUUGAAUUGUGUAUCAUAGAACCUUUUCCUCAGAGGUAAUCUUAAAGCCCUCUGAGCAAUUGAUAUAAGCUGAGCUUAGUUAACAGGGAAUUGGCAUCUCAUUCUUAUCUUUCUGAACCUCAUCAUGAAAUCUUCUGCGAUCUCAUGGUCGUAUUGUUUGACUUCAACCAGGUCAUUGAUAGUCAUUUCUGGUUCUAUUCUGUAAAACUAUUCAUAGAAGGCCAUCUCCAUCUGCCCUCAGUUGGCAAUAGAGUUACGGGGCAAUAGAGAGUACUACUGAGAUGUUAGCCCUGCCAAUGAAUUUCGAAACAACCUCAACUUGUAGUUCGGGUUGUCUUUAUAUGCCACACAAUGAUUGGAGAAUUUGAAAAUAUGAUCUCUAGAGGACACACUUCCAUCUUCUCCCGUGAAUGUUGGGAAUGCAGGCAUUUUAAAGUUGAUAGGAAAUGGGUUCUACUCAUCAAUAUAUUCAGGAUAAGGUUUUUGAUAGGUAACCCUGAAUACUGGACGAGCUUGUGGUUGAGCAUUAUGGGCCACCGUCUUUCUUAAUUCAGCUAGCUCUUCCCUCAGUUGUUGAGUAGCUGUAUUAUUAUUAUGGAAGAUAAGAGCAGCUUCAUUCUUUGGGCUUCGGUCAUUGACCGUACCUGCUUCCUUUUUUUACUCGGGCUUUCUCCAGUUGGCUCAUCCUCCCAUUAUUAGCCAACGGAGGUGGCCUAUAAGGAGGAGACUUAUCUGAGGUGAUAAAGCCUUCUUUUUCGCUGGGUUCUCCGGUUAUUAUGGGCAUCUCAUACCUCGUCAUUUCUUGUUCGCUCUGCUUCCUAUUAUUAAAUGAUAAUAAUAGGAAGCUAGGGAAUUCUUUUUCUAGAACCGGUUCAAUUAUGGACUGACUUCCUUCAAGAACUUCAUUUUCCUUUCCCUUAUCCUUUUUUUCUUCCAAUAACAGAAAUAGGGGAAUAACUGGUUCACUUUUGGCGGUAGCCUAGCUCAUCAUACUUCCUUGAACACCUUUUGAAGUAGAGAACUCCAGAUCUAGUCUCCUCUGUAGAUUUCCUGUUAAGGUACAAAGUCUACUUACUUCUCCCUUAGUUUCCAAAGAGAUUCUUUCCAUGCUCUUCAACACUUGUAUCAUAGUAGCCUGCAAUUCUUCAUUAGUUCCUUUUCCUUCAGACCUUCCAGAUGAAGUUGGGCUUUCCAAGACCACCUGUCCUGAUGGAGAAGAAGAAUUUCCUGAUUGUUCUGUCAUUUGUAGCAAAGGUUGAGAUGAUUCGUACUUUGUACUCUUUUUGCAAGGUUUAUGGCUUUUCUUCUUUAACAUGCGAGAUUGAAAAAGUGAAUCCCACCGGGCAUGCCAAAACUAUGUUCGUCUUGAGGAAUAUCCAAUGAGGACAUUUCUUGGCCAACGAGCACACAGCUCCCCAAGAGGUUGGCGCCGGUUGAUAUCGUCUGUCGGGCUUCUGCUUAUUGGCGGGCUGUAAGAGAAUGACAGAGUUAAUUCUGAAAUGUGCCUUUGUAUGGCCUUAGGUGUAGACCUUGAGGCUCGCAGUCAAAAUCAACUUUAAGUACCCAGGCAUGCCACUGUCAUCUUUAGCAUGAUAGAUAUAAAACAGAUGUUAAGUUUUAUUAUAUAUAUAUGUCCGAGAGACCAAGUUAGUUAUGAAAGGUGUCUUUGUGGGGCCUUAGGUGUAAGCCUUGAGGCUUCUCGUCAAAACUAACCAAAUACUUGAACAUAUAUUGGUUGUUUCAUUGUUGCAGAAGUAUUACAACCGUUAUACUUUAAUCGCCCGAGCCUGCAGAGCAGAACGAACUCAGAUAGGUGCCUUUGUCGGGCCUUGGAUAUAGGCCUUGAGGCUUCCUAUCAGAAUUAAUUUUAUACUCAAGCGUUAUGUAGCAAUCAUGAUAUAACAGAAGUAAAACUAGAAAAUAGGCCAAUUACUUACGCCCCAAGUAACUUCGGACAUCUUGUUAUCAAGGACUGUCGUGGAUGGGUUAAGUCCACAUAGGUUCUUUUUUAUGCCUUGAGACCAAAGACUUUUAAUUGAUCAAUCUUGUCUGCCUGAAUGGUUAGAACUUAGAAGUCUUUUAAUCAUAAACUGGCUAGAAAUAACUUGGAUGCAGAUGGAAAUAUACAUCAUAUUACUAGAUUUAUGAAUGAAAGACAAAAACAAAGGAGGUUAGGCAAGGUUUCACCUUGUCGGGCAAGGCUGAUCAUCUUGCAACUUCCUCUCUUUGUGAUUUACAAAGGGUUUGAGUGCUAGAAGGGGAGAUUGGAAGAUGAGUUUACAUGAGGGAAUCGAUACUACAACAAGAUUUAGACAGGGUAGCACAACUUUUACAAAAGCUUUCUGGUGAAGGUUGAUCCCGAAAGGGAUGAAGGCUUGGUGCUGACUACAACUUUGUAUGCAAAUCUGGCUUGAGCAGAGUUUGUGUAUUUGUUUGUUUGAUUGAGUGUCCUUGUCUCUGAUUUUUCUUCCUCCUUUUAUAGAUGAUUUGGCUUGGCUACUUGCAAUAUUGAUUUUGCCUGAAUGUAUCUGAAGGGCAGUGACUCAUCAACUUUUUACUUGUACUGCCAUUGUAAAGUACUUUUGGGCUGAUUAGCUGGCUGGUCUACACCACUUGACCUCUAGGUAGGUGAGCAGGUGGUUUGAAUGAUCUGCAUUUGGUCGGGAAAAAUGCUCAUUCUUUCUUCUGGGCUUCAGCUGGGCCUUGGACUUUUCCUCAUUUUGGACCUUCUUUUGGGCUAAUCCCUUUUUAACCCAAAGUUCAAGUUUUAUCCCAAACAACGCCCUUUUUUCUUCGUUAUCUUGGUCAUCUUAGUUGACUCCCCAUUCUCCGAUUCAGCAACCGUCACCAAGACCAAGUUGUAGAACUGUUUCAAACAUCCGUUUAUGCAUAUUAGAUUACUUCCAAAAGUGAUUUUGAUGACGUGCAGAAUGAGUAAUCUCAUUGUGCAAUACUUUUAGUGGAUGUCUCAAUGCACAGCUCCAAGAUCCGGCAUGAAUUAAUGAUUGAAAAUACAUAUGAAAAGAUAAAUGAGAAAAUGUACCUCACAAACACCAUGGAGCAACAAUCGACGGAGAGGAUCUUGGACCUACAGGAUGAGAACAUCUCCAUCUUCCUCUUCAGUCUCCGUAACAAAAGCCCGUACGCGCUCCUGAAAAGAGAAGGGAAUUUAUACUCAAUGACAAUAAAAGAUUUUGUCAGGUUUGUUAAGUGUAAAAUUGGUAAUUCCUAGCAAAAUGCCUGAGUCUGUAAUAAUAGCUUAGAUUUGUUACAUAUUUUCCAUUGUAAUUGUUUAAGUCUAAGGAUGUCUCUCACACUUUCGAUGCAAAGAUGUUACGUAAAUAAGAUACUUACCGAUACUUAUUUAGGUACGUUUGCACGCAUGCAUCUAACUAUUACCAUUAAAUACAAGAUGAAAUUAACAAUAAAAGUAAAAUGUAUCAAUAAACCCACCCAGUAAUCAAACCCUAACCAUCACGUAAUCUUUGUCUUACGUUCUUUCCUGGCAAAAAUCCUAAGACGCUCUCAUAGACCUUUAUCAUCGUCAUCAUCACUACCACCACCACCAUCACCAUCACCAUCUCCAACACUACUCAUCACCUGCAUAAACCUGCUUUUACUUAUGCUACUACUAAAACAACAAGCAGCAGCUGAUCAAGAUCAACACCUAGUUUUAAAUCAAGUGUUUUUCUUCAAUUUUAACUAUCCCGUUUAAUUAAGUAAUUAAAAUUCUUUUAAUUCUUUAAUUAACACGUUCAGAUGUUACUCAUAUUUAAUUAUUAGUCUUGCUAUGUAGAUGCAUUGCAAACAUGUGAGAACAUGAUAAUCAUUGCACUUCAUUUCAUUUUGUUUGUGCACUGUUCAGUGUUUAUAAUUAGUCAUGUGAUCUUAUUAUUAUUUUAUUUUAUAUAUUCUGAUAUAGUUUCUCAGUUUCUAACUUCCGUGCAUGCUUGCUAGCUAUUAUUCCCAGUACUGCAAGUCAGAUUGCAAUAUAUGCAUGCAUUUGUUAAACUAACUAGGGUUUGAUUAAUUUGGUUUGACUCUCAUAGUCACAUGGCAACUGUGUUUAAUUAGAUUAAUGGAUUUAAUUAGCAUGGAUCUUCAUGAGAUUGAUCCGGGUAGCUUCUAAUGUGAAAACAUGGGUGUAUAAAUUUGCAUAUUGAAUUGAGUAUGUGAGGGUAGUAUUGGUAGUAAAUUGGGUAUAAAGAGAGAAUAAUAGUUUGAUAAAAAAUAAUAUGGGUGAAAAGAGUAAGCUGGGUGUAGAGAUAAGUUAUAUGGAUUCAAAUAAAAUUUCCCUUUUGUAUUUGGGAUAGGUCUCUUACCUAUUUAUCUCUUUAAAAUGACUUAUCCUUUCUAUAUUAAUUAUUAAAACACGCUUUCAAGAUAAUCUGAUUGUAUUUGGUGGAACUUAUCUGAUUGCAUUUGGUGGGUUUUGCCUCGUUAAAUCCUACAUCAUGUGCGUACUCUUUAUAUUUAUUCUGAAUAUUCGUGUAGGAUUUAGUUUGCAUAACUGAUUAGUUUAAACCAUAAUUUGGACUCAACUUUUGUUCUUCUCUUAUUUAUUGUCGUGUUUUCAAUUGUUGUCCAUAACAUCUUUUUCAUCAUGGUUUCCUCAUGCAAGUCUGCACGUCCCCAUGCUCUGAAAGGCAAAACUCCUAUUAUCACUCCUUCAUUCUCUUAUCCCUGUACCCGUUCUGUGACUCAUAAAUUGUUUUCUUCCUUAUCUGCUCCUUCAACUUUUCCUGCUGUUGAUUUUUCCAACGAGAUCUUCAAACAUAUUCUUGAUCUGCGCCAACAAUUCUCUCUGUUGGAGCAUUUCAUUAAGAUUUCUACCAAUGAUCUCAGCCAUCGAAUUUCUCAAUUGGAGCACUGUCUCCAACGUAUCCCAAACCACAUGCUUGUGCCUCUUAUCCAUCUUUCAUCCUCUGAUGACGAUUCUGGAUUCAGUCCCGAUUGUAUUACACUGACUUCCCGUAUUCCUUGUUCACCUGUUCUGGAACAUACACCGCUGCCAACUCCUACUCCAGAGGAUGAUCCUGAGGAGGAUCCCGAAGAGGAUCCAGAGGAAGAUCUUUACUGGGUUACCUAUGAAGACUCACUGCCCAAGAAUGAUUGAUUCUAUGACUUCUUUGGCUUUUCCUAUGACAAAAGGGGGGAAAGACUUUAGCUAGGGGAGAGAGAUUUUAGCUAGGAGAGUAUUUUAGUUUAGUGAGAGUUUUAGCUAGGAGAGUAUCUUAGUGAGAGUUUCUUUUAGUUUCUUAUAUUUGGAGAAUAAACGAUGUUUGAAUGAUUAUCUUUAUUUCUUAAUAAAGUCUAUUUUUAUUGCAACAUGUAUCGUUUGUAUGUCACGGGUAUUUUGUUUAAUGUGUGCAGAUUACAGCCUUCAGUGCAUAAGUUUUAAUAUUUUUUCUUUUAUAAAUUGUUGUGAGUAAGGGUUUUGUCUAGGAAAUGCCAAAGGGAGAGAUUGUUAGUGUAAAAUUGGCAAUUCCUAGCAAAAUACCUGAGGCUGUAAUCUCCCCCUUUGGCAUUUCCUAGCCAAAACCCUCACUCGCAACAAUUUAGAAAAGAAAAAAAAAUAUUAAAACUCAUGCACUGAAGGCUGUAAUCUGCACACAUUAAACAAAAUACCCUUGACAUACAAACGAUAGAUGUUGCAAUAAAAAUAGACUUUAUUAAGAAAUAAAGAUAAUCAUUCAAACAUCGUUUAUUCUCCAAAUAUAAGAAACUAAAAGAAACUCUCACUAAGAUACUCUCCUAGCUAAAACUCUCACUAAACUAAAAUACUCUCCUAGCUAAAAUCUCUCUCCCCUAGCUAAAGUCUCUCCCCCUUUUUGUCGUAGGAAAAGCCAAAGAAGUCAUAGAAUCAAUCAUGCUUGGGCAGCGAGUCUUCAUAGGUAACCCAGUAGAGAUCUUCCUCUGGAUCCUCUUCGGGAUCCUCCUCAAGAUCAUCCUUUGGAGUAGGAGUUAGCAGCGGUGUAUGUUCCAGAACAGGUGAACAAGGAAUACGGGAAGGCGGUGUAACACAAUCGAGACUGAAUCCAGAAUCGUCAUCAGAGGAUGAAAGAUGGAAAAGAGGCACAAGCAUAUGGUUUGGGAUGCGUUGGAGACAGUGCUCCAAUUGAGAAAUUCGAUGUCUGAGAUCAUUGGUAGAAAUCUUAAUGAAAUGCUCCAACAGAGAGAAUUGUUGGCACAGAUCAAGAAUAUGUUUGAAGAUCUCGUUGGAAAAAUCAAUAGCAGGAAAAGUUGAAGGAGCAGAUGAGGAAGAAAACAAUUUACGAUUCACAGAACGGGUACAUGGAUAAGAGAAUGAAGGAGUGAUAAUAGGAGUCUUGCCUUUCAGAGCAUGGGAACGUGCAGACUUGAGUGAGGAAACCAUGAUGAAAAAGAUGUUAUGGACAGCAAUUGAAAGCACGACAAUAAAUAAGAGAAGAACAAAAGUUGAGUCCAAAUGCAAAACAACUAAAAGACCAAAAAGAUAAAAAAAAAAAAUAAAACAAUCAACAUUAUCUAAAAUUUGAAAGGACAUAGCAAAGAUAAGGAUAAUGACAAUUUUAUUUUAUUUUAUUUUUAUGUAAUGUCCACAAAAACAUAAUACGAACUAGAGAAAGCCAAAAUAAUCGAGACUAUAGAAAUGCAAUAUGAUUAAACAAGCCAACUCAACAGCAACCCCUAAACUCACAAGGAAUAUUCUCAAAUGUCACUCAAAGUGUUUGGGGUGAAGUGUUUACACUCAAAAAGAUCAUUAUGUGAAUACUCUACCAUAGGCUUGCAGAUCAAUCUCAUCUCCACACAUCAACAAUUUACCCUCAAGAGAUGAAAUAGGUUCGUACGAGUAGGUAUAACAGGACGUAGGCACUGGAUUAAGAUAAAGGAGAAUAAGGAGGACAGAAGUCCGAGAAGCUAUAGAGUCCUUUAGAAAUAAAACUAGAGAGAGGUUGAGACAGAGAGAACCACUGGAGCAAUAAAGAUGUGCUUUGCACAUUUGAUAUAUUGUGGUCUUCAUGUACAACUGUACCUUUGAUUUUCUUCAGAGAUAAACAACCACCAUGUGUGUUAUACACACGAAUCUUGUUUUUUUUUUUUUCUUGAAAAGUAUCGUUUCUUGACUUGGGAAGUUACUAUCAUCACGAUAUUAAUUCUUCAAUGGUGAACUAAUCGUGGACUCUCUCCGUAAAUAAAUAUGGAUUGGGCAACGGAGGUGAGAACCAGAGUAUAAAAGGUGAGGAAGAUAGUAUAUACUGAAGGAGAGGCGCAAUACUGUGGACAAGGGAAAAAAAUAAGACACUAGCGUAUAUGAUAAUGAUGGAACCACGUAAUUCCUAUUUUCAUCUCAAAAAGAGAGUAAGGAGCAAUACAAAGCCUCGAGAGAUCUCAAAGCAAGUUCUAGAGAGUUAAAAAUCACAUAAGAUAGAGCACACAAAAACGAUUUAAAAGUGUAUGAAAAAUGUAUACAUUAACUGGAGGCUCAAAAAUUCACAGGGGGCGGAGUUUCAGGCAAGUAGACAUGUUUAAUUAGAAAACAUACAUAUAGUAUCAACCCCCAAAGCAAAACAUAUUAUGUUUAGCACGAAGCAAAUAAUGUAGUGGCAAAAGUUUUGCAGACUAAAAAAUAAUAAUGGACUUCGUUUUCAAUAUUUUGAGGAAGAAACAACUAAGUAAAAAAAAUGAAAAAUAAAAAAAAAAAUUUAGAGGACACGACAGAUUCCUAAUGCCUUUCGAAGAGUUUCGAAACGAUGAGUGUCUAAAGGCUUAGUAAACAAGUCUGCAAGUUGAUGUUCAGUGGCAAUUAACUCCAACAUUAAAACCUUCUCUUCAACCAAGACACGAAUAAAGUGGUGACGAAUGUCAAUAUGUUUGGUACGAGAAUGUUGAACAGGAUUAUGGGAAAUGUUUAUAGCACUAGUGUUAUCACAAAAAACAGAAAAAGUGCCUUGAUUAAUGCCAUAAUCACUAAUCAUUUGCUUCAUCCAAAGCAAUUGUGUACAACAGCCACCAGCAGCGAUGUAUUCAGCUUCGGCAGUGGAUAAAGAAACACAGUUUUGUUUCUUACUAUGCCAAGCAACAAGAUUAUUUCCAACAUAGAAACGUCCUCCUGAAGUACUUUUUCGAUCAUCAGCAUUUCCUGCCCAAUUGGGAUUUGAAAAUCCAGCAAUUUCAGAAUUGGUUUCCAAGGAAUAAUGUAAUCCAAAAUCAACCGUGCCGCUCACAUAUCUGAUGAUUCUUUUGACAGCUUCCAGAUGCGAUUCUUUUGGAUCAGCUUGAUAUCUGGCACAAGCACCGACACUAUAAGAGAUAUCAGGCCUUCUAGAGCAUGGUAUGAAAAACUCUCAACUCAUUUGUUAAGGAAAGGAUAUACUCGAGGAGCUGUUGACAAAACCUUGUUCGUUAAAAGAAUCAAGAAGCAUGGUACGCAUGCAUCUAACUACAUUUAUCUGAUAUCUCAUGUUUUUGUAUUUGGGAUAGGUCUCUUAUCUAUUGUGUGCUUUAUCUCUUUAAAAUGACUUAUCCUUUCUAUAUUAAUUAUUAAAACACGCUUUCAAGAUAAUCUGAUUGUAUUUGGUGGGAUUUAUCUGAUUGUAUUUGAUGGGUUUUGCCUCGUUAAAUUCUACAUCAUGUGCGUACUCUUUAUAUUUAUUCUGAAUAUUCGUGUAGGAUUUAGUUUGCAUAAUUGAUUAGUUAAAACCAUAAUUUGGAUCAGUUUUAAGUUGAAAUUUAUUUAUAGGUUAAAUUAGUACUCAUCCUAGGACUUUCAAGGUUACAAUUUGAUUUAGAGAAAGAUGAAUAUGGAAAACGGAAUGCCAAAGAUGCUGAACAGAAAAGUGUGAUGACAAAAAGUGUCCAGACAAAUAACGGAACCAAUAUGAGAUCAACAUAAGGAAUUACAAUUACCUCAUAGAACUCAACAAGUUCUGCAAAAACGCCACGGCGAAGUGCCUUUCUUGUUCGACAAUCAACCCUACGCCAUGCAUUCAAGACGGCCGCUUUAUCAGCAUCAACAGGACUCUUCUUCUUUGCACUUGGGCCCUUCAUGGAAUCAAUCACAUUAGCCUGUCAAAAUGAAAUGAAGGCUAGAGUCAGGGCGUGCAACACCGAAACCUCUAAAAUGAUCCUAUAACGACAUAUGCAGAUAUACAUACUGGUUAUAAAUAAAUAGAGGCACAUUAUUUGCUACGUAAUUGCUAUGACACAAUUUAAAACGCUAAUCUGAAUAAAGUCUGCAAUCAUAUGACUGCUAGGAUAAUUUGCGACAUUCUAUGUUAAUUUUUGUAAUCUCUGUCUGCAAUGAUAUAGUUCAAAGGGUACUUAUGUACACAAAGUUCUAUACAGCAUGCAACAACAUAUAUAUAUGUGUGUGUGUGUGUGUGUCUGUGUGUAUGUUUAUGUGUAUAUAUAUAUACAAAUAAGUUCAUUUGGAAUGGUGGGAAUGGGAAAGUACCUGAGGAAUGUGAUUGUGGCCCAUUGAUGGUGGCUUUCGAAUAUAGCCCUGAAAUCAAGAGUGAGAUUUCUGCUCAGAUGGUGGAGGUUUCUUGCAGUUUAUGAGGAAUAUGAGAAGGGUAUUUAUAAUUGCAGACAUAUAUAUAUAGUAUCCUUUAUCUUAAAUUGGAUGUAAUUAUGUCUUGAUUUAGUGUAUUAAUGAUUUUUUAUAUGCAGAAAAUAUUUUGUGAAAGUGCAGAUUAAAAGAGAAAUAUCAAGAAUUCAUGUGCAUAAGAUAUCUGCAUGAAGAGUGAGGGAUUUGAAUCCCCCGAAUUGAACCAAAAUGAUUUCCAAAUUGGUAACUUAAAAAUCCAAGUAAAUGGCUACGUACCCGUUAAAUUAUUUUCACAAUAUUUACAAAUUUAUAAAUGGCGGUUAACUCAGUCACAAUUGUGUACCAAGCUUAUUACAAAUAGAUCAACGGCUCAUGUGCGAAGAUUAUUUGCUCUGAAAUACAAUAAUCUGAGUUUAUUUCAACCAGACUAUACAUUUCAGUAUGAUGCGACACGGUUGAUAUGCUGUUGCACAUGCUACAUGGUGUGCCAUUCAAUGUUUUAUAAUCAGGUGCACGAAAUGAUCGAUAUGUCUUAAUAAAUAAAUAAACAAAUUCACGUGUUAUAAUUUGAGUGGAAUAAUAACAUUAUGUGACCGUGUUUCAUGCACACUAAAUAAUUGAACGAAAACUACACCUUGAACUAGCAAGUUUCACAUACAGCUUGCUUGAUUAUGUUCAUUUUGGAAACAAGUCCAAAGUUGCACCAUUUCAUGCCAAAUGGAGAACUAACAAAUCAGAAUACAGAUUUUUUUGAAGAAAACUGCAGGAUAACCAAACACAAUAGAUUGAAUUUGAAACUAAAACAGUUCUUUCCAUCACACAGUAACCGCUUUCCCUCGACGCAGCACCCUUUGAUUCUGCUCGUCUAGAUGAAUGCGUACUCUUCCUCCUCCAUGUGAUGCCUAAACAUACGCGAUAAUGUAUCAAUAUACGGGGUUGUAAGUUUAUGAUAAGAAUGAAGAGCGAGAAAGAGAGCUAUAGAGUGCGAGAGAGAGUACCACGUAUCCAACAACAUCAGAUUUUCCAAGUUUUUUGCACCAGUAUGAUGCUACGACACAAUGUGCGCUCCCACAAACAGGAUCCUGACAUAAACAAAGAAGCAGCAUCCAGAUUUUUAUCAGUUGUAAUUUUGUCACAACACCGGAAAAUGAUAAGUGAGCAAGCAGCAUACCUCAUUCACACCGUGUUUAGGGGCAAAGAAUUUACUGUAAAAUCAUACCCGGACUCUGGGGGAGCAAUCGCUGUUGCAAGGACUCCCCUACACCCCGGACUUUAUUCCAUCAGGCUGUGGCUGCAGUGGCGGAGCCAGAAUUCUGAAUGAGAAGGGGCUUUUCACAAAUAUGUGUAUAUAUAUAUAUAUAUAUAUAUAUAUAUAUAUAUAUAUAUAUAUACGAGUGUGUGUAAAAAGUUUAAUUCAUAACAUGUUGACAUAUGCAAUUUGUGUAAUCCUCACAAAACUGAAAAAAUUCUCUUAAAUUCAAUACUAAGAAGAAAAAAAUGUAAAAACCAAGACAACCAAGUAAGAGGUAGGUUGUGGAAGACUAAAGAAAAUACAAAGAAGUAGAAAAAGAAGGAAAAGGGGGAGAGGUCGCAAAUAAAGAAGGUGGGUUGCUUAAGAAAAUUAUAGGAUGUAUAUUACUGUUAGGUGAGAAGAUCGAACUAGAAGUGGGGUUGCUUUUUCCAUUUAAAAUUGCACAUCUCUUUUAAAACUCUCUUGCCAAACUUGUCGUUUCAUUAGACAGCCGAAACGAUUUAAAAUCAAAACAGUUUAAUGACGUCAUUUGCUUCAUCUUCUUCCAUGAGGUUCACACUUCAGAUGAAGUUAGGAUGGGCCAGGGACUACCCUAGUCCCUUGGUGGCUCCGCCCUGGGCUGUAAAUCUGCAACCGCUUUUGAUGAUGGAAGCACAGCCUUGCGGAAAAUGAAACAAGAAGGAAACAGAACCAUCAGAAAGGAAAAGUUAUAAGCUUAUAUUGAUUGAACUGAUAAUAUGGAACCGAAAAUGCAGGUUCCUAGAAGGAUUGCAUGACCUACAAGUAGAUCAUCCUGUGACAGUUGCCCUCCUUCUUUCAUUAAUAGAAAAGCGCCAUUCAAGGCGUGGAGAUAAACCUGUGAUAGUUGCCCUCCUUUCAUUAAUAGAAAAGCGCCAUUCAAGGCGUGGAGAUAAACCGAAACCUCAUCAGAGUUGAAUUCAUUAGACGGGGCAGCAGGAAAGUGCAGUUCAAUGAAAUAGGAGGAUUCUUGUGCUUCAUCAUUGGCUGUCUUAACAUCUAGAACCUUUUUAGCUGUUAGGAUUCCAGACAAAGUUGAAAACGCGAUAAUGUCGGAAAAUAUCAAACCAGACUUAAAGAGAGUGUAUGAAGCAGCUAAUGUUGCAUGGCCACAAAGCUCAACCUGCAAAAAGGAAUCAAGUUUUCAGACUAGAUAGCUUGAUAUCAAACUUGGAGAAACCUGAGUUACUUGAAAAGUUUGCUUUUCAAGUAAAUAUACACCGCAAGAGUAAAAGGACCAAUUUUACUGAAUUAGUGGCUGCCUAAGAUUUGGAUCUUAGACACUCGAAUUAUUGCGUGGAUUUUAUAUUUCAACCUUGUUAUUAUAAACUGUGAUAUGAGUUUAAAACUUAAAACCAGAGAAACUAUAACGAUGUUUUAUGAGUGGAAAUUGGAAGGUGUGGAAAUUGGAAGGAAACACCGAACCUAGGAGCUGUGUCCGAGUCAAUGAGCUGAGUCAAGUAACAUGUCUCGGAGAAGAGGCCGCUGCCUGCAACUACCGGUCGUCUCUGUCUUCCUCCAGCAAGCAAACUGCUGCUGGGUUCCCCUUGACAGCUAAGUCAGUCGGUGAAAGCAUCCACCGGCACUCAUCCAUUUCAGCAAUAAAUUCAAACACUACUUGCACGCAUCAUAUACACACAGGAAGAAUAUGUGAGAGAGAGAGAGAGAGAGAGAGAGAGUUCAGCAGCUCAGCUGAGAAGAAAGUUGAGCAGCAGUAGCACCUUUCAAGAUGCCAAGAUGAAGAACUCGGGAUACAAAUUUUGAAAUGAAAAAUAAAGGCACACCUAACUAAUUUGCUCAAAUUUAUUUAAUUCAAAUAUAAUGGUUCUUUCCCCAUAAAAUUGAGUCAUUUAUUUCAAAUGUUUAUACUUCAAGGUAAAAAUAACUCCAACUUCAAGCUAAAACAGUUCCUUCCAUCACCAUAACAGCUUUUCCUCGCAGCAGUGCCCUUUGAUUUUGCUCAUCUAGAUGAACGUUUAUUGCUCCCCCUCGAGGUGAUGCCUGAAAGUAAACAUCAACGUAUGAGGGGAUUGAGAUUUAUAAUACCACAGAGAGAGAGAGCGAGAGAGAGAGAGAGAGAGUGCCUGAUAAGCAAAAACAUCAGACUUUCCAAGUUUUU
rnacentral:lncRNA from 1 species